rnacentral:rRNA from 1 species
AGCGUACACGGUGGAUGCCCUGGCAGUCAGAGGCGAUGAAGGGCGUGCUAAUCUGCGAUAAGCGCCGGUAAGGUGAUAUGAACCGUUAUAACCGGCGAUACCCGAAUGGGGAAACCCAGUGUGACUCGUCACACUAUCAUUAACUGAAUCCAUAGGUUAAUGAGGCGAACCGGGGGAACUGAAACAUCUAAGUACCCCGAGGAAAAGAAAUCAACCGAGAUUCCCCCAGUAGCGGCGAGCGAACGGGGAGGAGCCCAGAGCCUGAAUCAGCAUGUGUGUUAGUGGAAGCGUCUGGAAAGGCGCGCGAUACAGGGUGACAGCCCCGUACACAAAAGCGCAUGUGCUGUGAGCUCGAUGAGUAGGGCGGGACACGUGGUAUCCUGUCUGAAUAUGGGGGGACCAUCCUCCAAGGCUAAAUACUCCUGACUGACCGAUAGUGAACCAGUACCGUGAGGGAAAGGCGAAAAGAACCCCGGCGAGGGGAGUGAAAAAGAACCUGAAACCGUGUACGUACAAGCAGUGGGAGCACCCUUUGGGGUGUGACUGCGUACCUUUUGUAUAAUGGGUCAGCGACUUAUAUUCUGUAGCAAGGUUAACCGAAUAGGGGAGCCGGAGGGAAACCGAGUCUUAAUUGGGCGUUAAGUUGCAGGGUAUAGACCCGAAACCCGGUGAUCUAGCCAUGGGCAGGUUGAAGGUUGGGUAACACUAACUGGAGGACCGAACCGACUAAUGUUGAAAAAUUAGCGGAUGACCUGUGGCUGGGGGUGAAAGGCCAAUCAAACCGGGAGAUAGCUGGUUCUCCCCGAAAGCUAUUUAGGUAGCGCCUCGUGAAUUCAUCUCCGGGGGUAGAGCACUGUUUCGGCUAGGGGGCCAUCCCGGCUUACCAACCCGAUGCAAACUGCGAAUACCGGAGAAUGUUAUCACGGGAGACACACGGCGGGUGCUAACGUCCGUCGUGAAGAGGGAAACAACCCAGACCGCCAGCUAAGGUCCCAAAGUCAUGGUUAAGUGGGAAACGAUGUGGGAAGGCCCAGACAGCCAGGAUGUUGGCUUAGAAGCAGCCAUCAUUUAAAGAAAGCGUAAUAGCUCACUGGUCGAGUCGGCCUGCGCGGAAGAUGUAACGGGGCUAAACCAUGCACCGAAGCUGCGGCAGCGACACUCAUGUGUUGUUGGGUAGGGGAGCGUUCUGUAAGCCUGUGAAGGUGGCCUGUGAGGGUUGCUGGAGGUAUCAGAAGUGCGAAUGCUGACAUAAGUAACGAUAAAGCGGGUGAAAAGCCCGCUCGCCGGAAGACCAAGGGUUCCUGUCCAACGUUAAUCGGGGCAGGGUGAGUCGACCCCUAAGGCGAGGCCGAAAGGCGUAGUCGAUGGGAAACGGGUUAAUAUUCCCGUACUUGGUGUUACUGCGAAGGGGGGACGGAGAAGGCUAUGUUGGCCGGGCGACGGUUGUCCCGGUUUAAGCGUGUAGGUGUGUGUUCCAGGUAAAUCCGGUUCACUUUAACACUGAGGCGUGACGACGAGGCACUACGGUGCUGAAGCAACAAAUGCCCUGCUUCCAGGAAAAGCCUCUAAGCAUCAGGUAACAUCAAAUCGUACCCCAAACCGACACAGGUGGUCAGGUAGAGAAUACCAAGGCGCUUGAGAGAACUCGGGUGAAGGAACUAGGCAAAAUGGUGCCGUAACUUCGGGAGAAGGCACGCUGACACGUAGGUGAAGUGAUUUACUCACGGAGCUGAAGUCAGUCGAAGAUACCAGCUGGCUGCAACUGUUUAUUAAAAACACAGCACUGUGCAAACACGAAAGUGGACGUAUACGGUGUGACGCCUGCCCGGUGCCGGAAGGUUAAUUGAUGGGGUCAGCGCAAGCGAAGCUCCUGAUCGAAGCCCCGGUAAACGGCGGCCGUAACUAUAACGGUCCUAAGGUAGCGAAAUUCCUUGUCGGGUAAGUUCCGACCUGCACGAAUGGCGUAAUGAUGGCCAGGCUGUCUCCACCCGAGACUCAGUGAAAUUGAACUCGCUGUGAAGAUGCAGUGUACCCGCGGCAAGACGGAAAGACCCCGUGAACCUUUACUAUAGCUUGACACUGAACAUUGAGCCUUGAUGUGUAGGAUAGGUGGGAGGCUUUGAAGUGUGGACGCCAGUCUGCAUGGAGCCGACCUUGAAAUACCACCCUUUAAUGUUUGAUGUUCUAACGUGGACCCGUGAUCCGGGUUGCGGACAGUGUCUGGUGGGUAGUUUGACUGGGGCGGUCUCCUCCUAAAGAGUAACGGAGGAGCACGAAGGUUGGCUAAUCCUGGUCGGACAUCAGGAGGUUAGUGCAAUGGCAUAAGCCAGCUUGACUGCGAGCGUGACGGCGCGAGCAGGUGCGAAAGCAGGUCAUAGUGAUCCGGUGGUUCUGAAUGGAAGGGCCAUCGCUCAACGGAUAAAAGGUACUCCGGGGAUAACAGGCUGAUACCGCCCAAGAGUUCAUAUCGACGGCGGUGUUUGGCACCUCGAUGUCGGCUCAUCACAUCCUGGGGCUGAAGUAGGUCCCAAGGGUAUGGCUGUUCGCCAUUUAAAGUGGUACGCGAGCUGGGUUUAGAACGUCGUGAGACAGUUCGGUCCCUAUCUGCCGUGGGCGCUGGAGAACUGAGGGGGGCUGCUCCUAGUACGAGAGGACCGGAGUGGACGCAUCACUGGUGUUCGGGUUGUCAUGCCAAUGGCACUGCCCGGUAGCUAAAUGCGGAAGAGAUAAGUGCUGAAAGCAUCUAAGCACGAAACUUGCCCCGAGAUGAGUUCU